rnacentral:lncRNA from 1 species
GAAGAUAUUAAUUAACUUUCAUUAGAGAAAAUGCGGGUCCCAUAAAGUAAGCUGACAAAACCAUGAAGAUUAUUUCCUUACCUUUGUUCUACUGGAAUGUUAGAGAUGGAGAAGGAAAUACUUGCUCCCAAGAAGCAGAAACUGAACUCUUUCAAAAGUUUGUAAUGUAAGAUAUUGUCUCGCUUUUACAGUGGUUGGUUGAAGCUUGUUU